UACGUAGGCAGCGAGCGUUGUUCGGAUUUACUGGGCGUAAAGAGUGCGUAGGCGGUUUUCUAAGUUUGGUGUGAAAUCUCCCGGCUUAACUGGGAGGGUGCGCCGAAGACUGGAAGGCUAGAGUAUGGGAGAGGUAAGCGGAAUUCCUGGUGUAGCGGUGAAAUGCGUAGAUAUCAGGAGGAACACCUGCGGUGUAGACGGCUUACUGGACCAUAACUGACGCUGAGGCUCGAAAGCGUGGGGAGCAAACAGG
rnacentral:rRNA from 1 species